rnacentral:rRNA from 1 species
AGAGAAUAGAUACCCUGGUAGUCCACGCCGUAAACGAUGGAUGCUAGCUGUUAUCAGUAUCGACCCUGGUAGUAGCGAAGCUAACGCGUUAAGCAUCCCGCCUGAGGAGUACGAGCGCAAGCUUAAAACUCAAAGGAAUUGACGGGGACCCGCACAAGCGGUGGAGCGUGUUGUUUAAUUCGAUGGUAAGCGAAGAACCUUACCAAGGUUUGACAUCCUGGGAAAGUUGGUGAAAGCCGACCGUGCCUUCGGGAACCCAGUGACAGGUGAUGCAUGGCCGUCGUCAGCUCGUGUCGUGAGAUGUUUGGUUAAGUCCAUCAACGAGCGCAACCCUUAUAGUCUGUUGUAUUUCUCAGGCUAGACUGCCCCGGUAACGGGGAGGAAGGAGGGAUGAUGUCAGGUCCGUAUUUCCCUUACACCUUGGGCUACAAACACGCUACAAUGGCCGGUACAAAGGGCUGCCAAGCAGCAAUGCGGAGCAAAUCCCAUCAAAGCCGGUCUCAGUUCGGAUUGUUGGCUGAAACUCGCCAGC